CAUAAUAGUAUGAAGCCUUUCAUAUAGUGCUGUUCACUUCUUAAAUAUUGUAGUAAAAUUAAUCUAGCUUUUCUAGCAGUCUUCCUGCAAAGAAGGCCAGAAGUAAAGGAGGGAAAACUGAUCUUUGAGGGAUCAGGAUCUGCAGUACCUCUAAGUACACUUCAAAUGCAGGUUAAAAAGAUAGAAGUUAAGAAUUCAAACAGAAGCAGGUUCUUACUGAGGUCAGAGCUGCAGUCUGACCCCACCAGUCUGUUUCUGAUAGUGACAGUGCAAGAUACUAAAUCAUAUUAUAACAUUGGAAACUGUUUUCCUUUAUUGUAUCUAAUUUCUCUUUUCAAUAACACCGGUAGUACAGAUAAUGCUGUCAGCCUGGAGAACCUUUGUGAUGACACAUUUCCCAAGUUCACUACCUGCUGUCUAAAUGAGGGUAGCUGCUUCAGUCCUUGGCUGUACAUGUCUAACUCUGCUGUGUCUUCCCUGAGAUGCAGAGACUGGAACUACAAGUAGCAAUUGUGCUAUGUUGAAUGGAUGCCCUGAAUUUUAUCACUGUAAGUGGAAGAGGGAUUACAGAGUAAGACGGGUGUAGUUUGUUGUGUGCUGUUUGGUAUGGAAUAUCUCAAGUUUGGUAUUCAGAAUUAUUGUUUCUGCAAUUGAGUAGCACUUCAGCUUCAGGAGCAGAGACUGUUCUCACAUGCAUUAAUUUCAUAACAAGCCCAGAAAUGGAGAAGGUGGUGCACCAAUUCAUGACCAGCUCAACAGCCAUGACAUGAAAGAGUAAAUUUAGUAUAUAAUACAUUUUUUGACAAAACUUCAUUAAUUUCUGCUCAGAACUGAUCCAGGAACUUCUUUUUAGUCAGUCAUGCAAGUAAGGGAGUUAAUGUAUCUGUUACUUUCAGUGUUUUUUGCAGAGAAAAUCAAUGUAAAGACAAAUAUACUUUUCAUUGUUACAGUGUGGAAUUGUUACACUAU
rnacentral:lncRNA from 1 species